rnacentral:rRNA from 1 species
UACAGAGGGUGCGAGCGUUGUCCGGAAUCAUUGGGCGUAAAGGGCGCGUAGGUGGCCACUUCAAGCGUGCGGUGAAAGUCGGGGGCUCAACCCCUGAUCGGCCGUGCGAACUGGGGGGCUGGAGCACUGUAGAGGCAGGCGGAAUUCCGGGUGUAGCGGUGGAAUGCGUAGAGAUCCGGAAGAACACCGGUGGCGAAGGCGGCCUGCUGGGCAGUUUUGCUGACACUGAGGCGCGACAGCGUGGGGAGCAAACAGG